rnacentral:rRNA from 1 species
GGUUAAGCGACUAAGCGUACACGGUGGAUGCCCUGGCAGUCAGAGGCGAUGAAGGACGUGCUAAUCUGCGAUAAGCGUCGGUAAGGUGAUAUGAACCGUUAUAACCGGCGAUUUCCGAAUGGGGAAACCCAGUGUGUUUCGACACACUAUCAUUAACUGAAUCCAUAGGUUAAUGAGGCGAACCGGGGGAACUGAAACAUCUAAGUACCCCGAGGAAAAGAAAUCAACCGAGAUUCCCCCAGUAGCGGCGAGCGAACGGGGAGCAGCCCAGAGCCUGAAUCAGUGUGUGUGUUAGUGGAAGCGUCUGGAAAGGCGCGCGAUACAGGGUGACAGCCCCGUACACAAAAAUGCACAUGCUGUGAGCUCGAUGAGUAGGGCGGGACACGUGGUAUCCUGUCUGAAUAUGGGGGGACCAUCCUCCAAGGCUAAAUACUCCUGACUGACCGAUAGUGAACCAGUACCGUGAGGGAAAGGCGAAAAGAACCCCGGCGAGGGGAGUGAAAAAGAACCUGAAACCGUGUACGUACAAGCAGUGGGAGCACGCUUAGGCGUGUGACUGCGUACCUUUUGUAUAAUGGGUCAGCGACUUAUAUUCUGUAGCAAGGUUAACCGAAUAGGGGAGCCGAAGGGAAACCGAGUCUUAACUGGGCGUUAAGUUGCAGGGUAUAGACCCGAAACCCGGUGAUCUAGCCAUGGGCAGGUUGAAGGUUGGGUAACACUAACUGGAGGACCGAACCGACUAAUGUUGAAAAAUUAGCGGAUGACUUGUGGCUGGGGGUGAAAGGCCAAUCAAACCGGGAGAUAGCUGGUUCUCCCCGAAAGCUAUUUAGGUAGCGCCUCGUGAAUUCAUCUCCGGGGGUAGAGCACUGUUUCGGCAAGGGGGUCAUCCCGACUUACCAACCCGAUGCAAACUGCGAAUACCGGAGAAUGUUAUCACGGGAGACACACGGCGGGUGCUAACGUCCGUCGUGAAGAGGGAAACAACCCAGACCGCCAGCUAAGGUCCCAAAGUCAUGGUUAAGUGGGAAACGAUGUGGGAAGGCCCAGACAGCCAGGAUGUUGGCUUAGAAGCAGCCAUCAUUUAAAGAAAGCGUAAUAGCUCACUGGUCGAGUCGGCCUGCGCGGAAGAUGUAACGGGGCUAAACCAUGCACCGAAGCUGCGGCAGCGACGCUUAUGCGUUGUUGGGUAGGGGAGCGUUCUGUAAGCCUGCGAAGGUGUGCUGUGAGGCAUGCUGGAGGUAUCAGAAGUGCGAAUGCUGACAUAAGUAACGAUAAAGCGGGUGAAAAGCCCGCUCGCCGGAAGACCAAGGGUUCCUGUCCAACGUUAAUCGGGGCAGGGUGAGUCGACCCCUAAGGCGAGGCCGAAAGGCGUAGUCGAUGGGAAACAGGUUAAUAUUCCUGUACUUGGUGUUACUGCGAAGGGGGGACGGAGAAGGCUAUGUUGGCCGGGCGACGGUUGUCCCGGUUUAAGCGUGUAGGCUGGUUUUCCAGGCAAAUCCGGAAAAUCAAGGCUGAGGCGUGAUGACGAGGCACUACGGUGCUGAAGCAACAAAUGCCCUGCUUCCAGGAAAAGCCUCUAAGCAUCAGGUAACAUCAAAUCGUACCCCAAACCGACACAGGUGGUCAGGUAGAGAAUACCAAGGCGCUUGAGAGAACUCGGGUGAAGGAACUAGGCAAAAUGGUGCCGUAACUUCGGGAGAAGGCACGCUGAUAUGUAGGUGAAGUCCCUUGCGGAUGGAGCUGAAAUCAGUCGAAGAUACCAGCUGGCUGCAACUGUUUAUUAAAAACACAGCACUGUGCAAACACGAAAGUGGACGUAUACGGUGUGACGCCUGCCCGGUGCCGGAAGGUUAAUUGAUGGGGUUAGCGCAAGCGAAGCUCUUGAUCGAAGCCCCGGUAAACGGCGGCCGUAACUAUAACGGUCCUAAGGUAGCGAAAUUCCUUGUCGGGUAAGUUCCGACCUGCACGAAUGGCGUAAUGAUGGCCAGGCUGUCUCCACCCGAGACUCAGUGAAAUUGAACUCGCUGUGAAGAUGCAGUGUACCCGCGGCAAGACGGAAAGACCCCGUGAACCUUUACUAUAGCUUGACACUGAACAUUGAGCCUUGAUGUGUAGGAUAGGUGGGAGGCUUGGAAGUGUGGACGCCAGUCUGCAUGGAGCCGACCUUGAAAUACCACCCUUUAAUGUUUGAUGUUCUAACGUUGACCCGUAAUCCGGGUUGCGGACAGUGUCUGGUGGGUAGUUUGACUGGGGCGGUCUCCUCCUAAAGAGUAACGGAGGAGCACGAAGGUUGGCUAAUCCUGGUCGGACAUCAGGAGGUUAGUGCAAUGGCAUAAGCCAGCUUGACUGCGAGCGUGACGGCGCGAGCAGGUGCGAAAGCAGGUCAUAGUGAUCCGGUGGUUCUGAAUGGAAGGGCCAUCGCUCAACGGAUAAAAGGUACUCCGGGGAUAACAGGCUGAUACCGCCCAAGAGUUCAUAUCGACGGCGGUGUUUGGCACCUCGAUGUCGGCUCAUCACAUCCUGGGGCUGAAGUAGGUCCCAAGGGUAUGGCUGUUCGCCAUUUAAAGUGGUACGCGAGCUGGGUUUAGAACGUCGUGAGACAGUUCGGUCCCUAUCUGCCGUGGGCGCUGGAGAACUGAGGGGGGCUGCUCCUAGUACGAGAGGACCGGAGUGGACGCAUCACUGGUGUUCGGGUUGUCAUGCCAAUGGCACUGCCCGGUAGCUAAAUGCGGAAGAGAUAAGUGCUGAAAGCAUCUAAGCACGAAACUUGCCCCGAGAUGAGUUCUCCCUGACCCUUUAAGGGUCCUGAAGGAACGUUGAAGACGACGACGUUGAUAGGCCGGGUGUGUAAGCGCAGCGAUGCGUUGAGCUAACCGGUACUAAUGAACCGUGAGGCUUAACCUU